GAGGAAGCCCCUGCUCCCUCCCUGUUUCAAGAAGUCUGGGGUUGUAAGAGGAUGAGCUUCUCUGUGUAACGAAAGGAGGAGACUGAGUGAUCCCUGAUUAAUCCGGAAGCUGCUCCCCCAGCAGGACCUGGCGCGACGCCAGGGAAGGUUGGACUGAAUUUCAGGGGCCUGGUCGGAAGGCUCUCAGGGAGGUUUCCAUGGUGUCUUGGGGGCUUUGACACCGAGAACUCUUGGCUUCCAGACAGUGUCUUGGAAACCCGGAAACAGAUGUGCCGCGGCAUAAUGCAAAUAAAGAGCCAGGCUGCUGCAGGAAGGUCUGGUGGCCGAGCAGCUCUUGAAGAGGAGGUGGAAGAGCCGCGCUGUCCAUGUGAGAUAUGGUCCAAUCAACAGCCAAAGUUUCCUUGUCAGUUUUGAUAUAUCCCAUAAUAGCUGCAGGUUGUUUUGCAAUGUCCAAUGUUCUGUGAAGAUGGGCUUUUCAUAUUCUUUAUUGUUUUUUACUGACAAAAUGUUGCCUGGACUUUUGCAGUUUUGUGAAAUGAAACAACAGUAAACACAAUAUAUAAUGGCUCCUCAUCCGCCUAGCUGGACGCCCAUCCUGUGGUCAGCCUGGCCAGGGCAUAACUGUGUGGUUCAUUGAUCCGUCAUAAGUGCCUCCUGAGAGGCUGAGCGCCACAGCUCGUCCGGUCCCCUUGGCCCAUGUGGGCCCAGGCGGAUCUGAACAUGCUCUAGCGGGCACUUUGCCACCUGUGCUCACACUUCACUGUCCCUCAGGCUGGGGGCUGAGAGGAAGAAUGAGAUGACCCCCUGCAGCGGGGGGCUGCUGGGCCUCU
rnacentral:lncRNA from 1 species